GACGAACGCUGGCGGCGUGCUUAAUACAUGCAAGUCAACUUGACUUUAGAUAGCAAUAUCGAAAAGUAGGGUGGCGCACGGGUGCGUAACGCGUAGGUAAUCUGCCCUGAGGUCUGACAUAACCCGUCGAAAGGCGGCUAACAUCAGAUGAUAUAUAGUCACGACAUCGUGGAAAUAUCAAAUACUUCGGAGCCUUGGGAUGAGCCUGCGUCUGAUUAGGUAGUUGGCGGAGUAAUAGCCCACCAAGCCUACGAUCAGUAGCUGGUCUGAGAGGAUGAUCAGCCACACUGGAACUGAGACACGGUCCAGACUCCUACGGGAGGCAGCAGUAAGGAAUAUUGCUCAAUGGGGGAAACCCUGAAGCAGCAACGCCGCGUGAAGGAUGAAAUACUUUUGUAUGUAAACUUCUGUAAGAUGGGAAAAAUAUUCUCCUCGGGAGAAUUUGAUUGUACCAUCAGAGUAAGCCCCGGCUAACUACGUGCCAGCAGCCG
rnacentral:rRNA from 1 species